rnacentral:rRNA from 1 species
AACGAACGCUGGCGGCGCGUCUUAAGCAUGCAAGUCGAACGGCAAGAGAGGAGCUUGCUUCUCUCCUAGAGUGGCGGACUGGUGAGGAACACGUGGGUAAUCUACCCUUAAGAUGGGGAUAGCUGCUAGAAAUAGCAGGUAAUACCGAAUACACUCGGCAUAUCACAAGAGGUGUUGAGGAAAGGAAGCUACGGCUUCGCUUGAGGAUGAGCUUGCGUCCCAUUAGCUAGUUGGUGAGGUAAAGGCCCACCAAGGCGACGAUGGGUAUCCGGUCUGAGAGGGUGAACGGACACAUUGGGACUGAGAUACGGCCCAAACUCCUACGGGAGGCAGCAGCUAAGAAUAUUCCGCAAUGGACGGAAGUCUGACGGAGCGACGCCGCGUGGAUGAAGAAGGCUGAAAAGUUGUAAAAUCCUUUUGUUGAUGAAGAAUAAGGGUGAGAGGGAAUGCUCAUCUGAUGACGGUAAUCGACGAAUAAGCCCCGGCUAAUUACGUG